rnacentral:tRNA from 1 species
GGGUGUAGCGCAGUUUGGUAGCGUGCUUGAAUGGGGUUCCAGAGGCCGGAGGUUCAAAUCCUCUCCCCC